rnacentral:rRNA from 1 species
CAGCCGCCGCGGUAAUACCGGCGGCCCGAGUGGCGGUCACUAUUAUUGGGCUUAAAGCGUCCGGAGCCGGGGUGGGAAGUCCUCCGGGAAAUCUGGCCGCUUAACGGUCAGAAUGCCGGAGGAUACUCCCAGCCUAGGGAGCGGGAGAGGCCGAGGGUAUUCCCGGAGUAGGGGGGAAAUCCUAUAAUCCCGGGAGGACCACCUGUGGCGAAGGCGCUCGGCUGGAACGCGUCCGACGGUGAGGGACGAAGGCCAGGGGAGCAAACCGGAUUAGAUACCCGGGUAGUCCUGGCUGUAAACGAUGCGGACUUUGUGUCGGACAAGCUAUGAGCUUGUCCGGUGCCGGAGGGAAACCGUUAAGUCCGCCGCCUGGGGAGUACGGCCGCAAGGCUGAAACUUAAAGGAAUUGGCGGG